rnacentral:rRNA from 1 species
CAGCAGCCGCGGUAAUACGAAGGGUGCAAGCGUUAAUCGGAAUUACUAGGCGUAAAGCGUGCGUAGGCGGUGAGUUAAGUCUGCUGUGAAAUCCCCGGGCUCAACCUGGGAAUGGCAGUGGAUACUGGCUCGCUAGAGUGUGUCAGAGGAUGGUGGAAUUCCCGGUGUAGCGGUGAAAUGCGUAGAGAUCGGGAGGAACAUCAGUGGCGAAGGCGGCCAUCUGGGACAACACUGACGCUGAGGCACGAGAGCGUGGCGAGCAAACAGGGUUAGAUACCCGUGUAGUCCCUGUCUCUUAUAC